rnacentral:tRNA from 1 species
GGGGCUAUAGUUAAUAAUAACAUUUGAGUUGCAUUCAAAAAGAACUAUCUGUGUAGUUAGCCUUA